rnacentral:lncRNA from 1 species
GUCAGUUUGGACUGCAGGCAGAGCAAGUUCUUGUGUAGUAGGAGCCUUGGCACAGUGAGCUGGCAUUUAUCACAAUACAGGAAGGAAGCUGGUUUUCAUCUUAAUUCCUGGUUUUGCGGCACGGUCCAUCAUGGACACAGAGCCUUCCCACUUCACCCUUGAAAUUAAUGGACAAUAUACUCACUGGGAUUCCCCGAGCUCCUGCUGGUAACCCAGCUGUGUUGUCAUCAUGCAGCUGAGAGGUCCCUAACUCUUUGAGUUCUUCAACUGAAUUUGUAUGUAAGGCUUUUCGUCUACUCACUGAUGUUCUGGGUACUAAGGGCAUGAAGCUGUUUUGCAAAUAAUCUAGGUAUGUUAAAGUGUAACAUUUCCUGACUGCUUUUGGGAACAAAUCAGUUUGG